rnacentral:tRNA from 2 species
GGGCUGCUGGCUCAAUGGUAGAGCGUCUGACUACGGAUCAGAAGGUUCCAGGUUCGAAUCCUGGGUGGCUCG